CAUUUCUCUAACAGAAUCGUCAGUGAAAAAUUAUGAUAUUGAUACGUAAAAUUUCCUAAUCAAUUUCUUAAUCGUCAAGUUAUCAGCGAGUUUCGUAAUACUUUUACGGAAUAUUUUUCUCCGCGUAUUUGAGCUCGCGAAAUCAGAAAGAAAUGUCUUAUUGAUAAAUAUUUAUGUCUCCAUUCAGAAAAAAAUCUCUCGAUAUAAUUCGUUUCAUCAGCCGAAUUAUCGAAUUAAAAAUUAUUGUUCCCACACUGUUGCAUAAUAAUUUUAUAAUCACUCCGUGAUAUAUCACACUAAAAUUUUUAUUGGAGUGCAAAAUCGAUAUUACGGGCUUUAAAUUACGCCAUCAACAUAAUUUAAACCGAAGUGUGAAUACAUAAUUUCAUAAUAUUCUCGGGUAAAAUAAAUCAAUAGGAUUCUGUGUAUUGGGUGGUAUAAUUUACCACUUAGUGGGGACGCACGCGGGAUAUAUUGUUUGAUUAUGAUUAAUAUGAGGAAAAUUAUAUUACUGAUUCACGCAAUAUCAACGUUUGAGUGCACAUUAUCCAAGUUUCCGUAACUGUAUUCUCUGAUGAAAAUUAAUUCAGUGGAGCUAGUGGCGCAGAGAAAUGACAGGGCAUCAAAAAUAAUUGAAUUAGGUAAUUAGGAGACGCGAAUAGUUCGUAGCUGAGACAGAUUAGUGAGUAAAAUUCCAGAAUGACAGAGGGUGAUUACCAGUAUUGACUGAGACAAAAAUUUGGUAAAACAGAAAUUAUUAUUUUUGACUCAACCAUUCGGUCUUUGUCAAUAGUACCAACAUAAUAUUUAAUUGAUGUAACGAAAUAUAUCGACAAUUUCCGAGAACCGUGUGAUUAAACUUAUGCUUUAAUCGUUGAGCCUGAGGACUCCAAACAUAAACCUCAUGGUUCUAUCAAAUAGGGGUUGGAAUCUACCGUAUAUUGGCUGCGAUAGCUGGACAUCAUCUCAGCACAACCAUAAAACACAAAACAAUUUAACACCGAAAUAAAAAAAAAAAUAUAUAUAUAUAAAUAUAAAAAUAAAAAAAUAAAAAAUAAAAAUAUUUAAAUAUUUAUAUAAAUAUAAAUAUUUGUUGUAAAAAAUAUCAAUUAUAUCUAUCAAUUGACCAAAUUAGUGUGUGCUAAUGUAGCUGUGCUAUCUUAAAACGCCUCACCUGUCGCUCCGAACAACAAAUCCGGACAACAACUAAUCGACACUAGAUUUCACCUAAUUUUUUUUUAAUCAUUUCUUAGAGUUGUUCUCCCUUAAAAGAGAAAAAGUCUUUCUCUCUUGUCUCAUUUCUCCGCUCCUUUGUGGCAUCAUUUCUUUGACCCAAGAAUAUCUCAAAGGAGCACAGAAAUCGAAUUUAGUAAUGAAAAUGUGCAGAUAAUUCUAAAAGGAAAAAAUUCUUGUGCAAAAAUUAGGUGACUUAAUGCGAUGACGAUCGGGAAGGGAAUAUGGUUAUUUAUUCACGUAUGGUUAUGAUAAAUAAUGACAAUCGAGGUAAUAUGGCAUCAAAGGAUAAUCACAUUACCUCCCUUGUGUCUAAAUUACUGGAAUAAUCCCAUCAUCCCAAGUAAGUUAACGCUGUUAUUUUUAAAACUCUAGACUCUAUUUAUAAAUUUUUAUUUUUUUUUUUGAGUGAAACUUCUUUAAAGUUUCAUUUUUUUUCUUGUCUCAUGUUUACGACAUGAGCACGCCCUUUCAAAUUAAAUCCCAACUGGCAACUCGAGUUUUUAAACUUCAAAAGAUUGAAUAUGCGAUUAAAUUGUGUGGAAUCAUUAAAGUUGAGGAUUCUGCGAGAAUAUCUGCAUAGUUCAACAGGACUGAAUUCACCAGCGGAGAUCGCCAUCAAUAUUAUUCUGUAAUAUACAAAGAGAAAGAUCCACCCAAAAUUGAGUAUUUUCCCCUUAAUUACUGAGGGAAAUGUGGCUCACAAAAAUCUUACGAAACUGUUACACAAAUUUUAUGGAGUUUUUUUGGUGUGUUCCAUAAUUUUUGUCGAAAUUUUCUGUGAAAAAUAAGCGCGAGGCACUUUCAUAAUCGAUAAGUAACAUUGGGUGACAUGUCGUAGUUGUUUUAGCGCAAUAACUCCGAAUCUAAGAGAGAUAGCAAAAUUUUUGUAAUAACAUUUAUUGUAGUGCUGAAUUCCCUCCACAAAAAAGGUCCUAAUGGAAAUUUCGCUACGUUCCUUAGAUUGCAAGAUAUUCACCAAAAACUAAUCAGUAGUGAAAAGUCGUUUAGGUCGUUUAGCCACUUCGCUUCUGAGUAAUUUCUGCUCGAAUUUUAUGGAACUUUUUUCUAUCAUCAGUUAUGAUUCUGUGUAUCGAAAGUUCUCACCAGUCCCCCCACAAAAAUUAUGGUGCUUAUAUGAAAAAUGAGGCGCAAAGUGCUGAUCAGGAAAAAAUUCCGCUGCUGGCGCAAGAAAUUUCAUGAGCUUGAACCUGAAUUUUUGGCGAAAUUCUGUAAAAUUCGGCCGAAAUUCCCCCUUAACAAAAUUAUGAUCUCUGAUGAUCUCUUCACACCCGAGAGAUUGUCAUAGUUUCCAGUACCCGUACUAGAAUUUUUCCAGGAAAUUUCUGUAUCUAGUAUUUAAAAAUACUCAUCAACAUCAGAGCGUAUAAUCUAAUAACCCCCAUCCAUCAGAAUGGUUUCUUAAGAAGCCCUAAAGUGAGAGUUUGUGGAAAUAUAACUCCAUGAAGUGGCACAUGAUGUCUAUGUACCCGAUGUUUCAUCUUCAGGCAUAAAACUGGCACAUUAAACUCAUCACCACGUGUUGCAAAUAUCCCAGCGAAGCUAAUAAAACCCGAUACCCAUUAAUUCAAACAAUUUACCUAUAAUUUUCGCAAUUCCCACAAUUUUCCCUCGAGCCAUUGCAAUACACUUCCACAUUCUCAUGAAUUUUGAACAUUCAUCUUCAACAUUCACGAGACUUGAGGAGUUAACAAUUCCUAUUGCAAAAAAUUUCGAUAAAAAAAUUCGAUGGCCACAAAGUUCUGUCCUGAUGUUUGCACCAGGUCGAUUACGAGGAGCAAGUCCAAAGUUCAUUCCACUAGGCGGUACUGGGGUGAUGUAUACUGCAGAAAUAUAUAAACGUCAGACACGAGUCGCCGAAGACCUCCAAAAGAGAACUGGGAGUAAGUUGGAGAGCAUGCACUUCCUCAUUGUGUUGUCUGAUGUCUGAGACAUAUCAAGGGACAGGAGUGAUUCGAUUUACUGAAUUCAUUUCCAGAAAUGGAAAUUCCAAAGCUGUUUUUGACUGUGAAAAAUCUUGUAUUUCUUCGAUUUGUCCAUUUUGUAAUUUUCCAAUGUUCAGUGGAAGUUGACUAGAACAAUAUGAAAUGUAAAAAAAUGUCUUGAUAGUCUUGGCUGCUCUGAAUGUCAUUUUGCUUUUUGUAAUUGAGAUGAAUAAGGUGAAGUAAGAAGUUGGCAGAUAAAAAUCUAAUUUUUUUCUGAGUUCGA